UCUCCGUUGGUGAACCAGCGGAGGGAUCAUUAUCGAGUUGCAAAAAACUCCAACCCGUGUGAACAUACCUCAGUCGUUGCUUCGGCGGUCGAGGGCCGGAAGGCCCGAAGCCGCCGGAGGUUCCAAACUCGGUGUUUUCAGUGUAUCUCUGAGCCACAAAACAAUAAUCAAAACUUUCAACAACGGAUCUCUUGGUUCUG
rnacentral:misc_RNA from 1 species